UACGUAUGUCCCGAGCGUUAUCCGGAUUUAUUGGGUUUAAAGGGUGCGUAGGCGGAAGAUUAGGUCAGUGGUGAAAGUUUGAGGCUCAACCUUAAAAUUGCCAUUGAAACUGGUUUUCUUGAGUAUAUUUGAAGUAGGCGGAAUUCGUGGUGUAGCGGUGAAAUGCAUAGAUAUCACGAGGAACUCCAAUUGCGUAGGCAGCUUACUAAACUAUAACUGACGCUGAGGCACGAAAGCGUGGGUAUCAAAC
rnacentral:rRNA from 1 species